AACAGAUCAAAAUGCAAAACAAACAAACCCCCAAGAACAAAUGCAGCGUGAAGGCCUGGUAAAAUAUUUACAAUUAUUUCAAUGGAAAAAAGGUACCUGCUACAGUCAAUAGGUUGUAAAACAAAUUCAGAUGGAAGCUAUUGUUUACCCCUAAAUCAGCUCUAAUGCACUGGCAAAUGUGAUUAUCAGCAUUCUGCGGGGAGCAGCACCAUCAGCAUUCAUUCCAGGUGUGCUCAGUGAAGGCUCUCUUGGCCGCAGGUUCAUUUGUAAUUAUUAAAAUGCACCUUGUUAGCCAUGCAGCAAGUCCCAAAUUCCUGGGCAGCGGCACAUGCAGUGUUUGCUUUAAUUUAUUCUGUGCCAUUUCUGCAUUAUUUUACUGUGUCAAUGCCACGGUGCAAAUGAGAAACCCCAUCUCAAAGGCUCCGAAGGGAAGAGAGCCGAGCACUCUCUGUUACCUGUGACUCGGAGCUGGCACGUCCUUUGUUCCUAGGGAAAGCUUUUCCAUCAAGGACAAGCAGCCGGAGGAGCUGGCAGCCAGCAUGGCUGCUCCCACUGCCAGGGGUGGGAAAGGGACCAGCGCAGCGCCUGAGUGCUCACCAGGGGGAAGGCAGGAGUGGAGGGAAGGGAAAGACUUGCUAUCACCCUAAGGACUCACACCAGUGGCACUGCUGGGCCACCCUCGUACCCGAAAUAACAGCAAACGCAGGGAAGUGACAGAAAAACAGGGAGAGAACUCUUAAGAUAGUUUGGGGCAUGAGAUGUGAGAGAUUACAAAAUGGUUUGGGUCAGAAGGGACCUUAAACCAUCCAGUUCCACCCCCUGCCAUGGGCAGGGACACCUCCCACUAUCCCAGGCUGCUCCAAGGCCCGUCCAACCUGGCCUUGGACAUUUUCAGGGAUCCAGGGGCAGCCACAGCUUCUCUGGGCACCCUGUGCCAGGGCCUCAGCACCCUCACAGGGAACAAUUCCUUCCCAAUAUCCCACCUAAAUCUUCCUCCGGCAGUUUAAAGCCUUUCCCUCUUGUCC
rnacentral:lncRNA from 13 species